rnacentral:rRNA from 1 species
AUACGGAGGGUGCUAGCGUUAUUCGGAUUUACUGGGCGUAAAGAAAGCGUAGGCGGUUAAUAAAGUUGGAUGUGAAAGCCCGGGGCUCAACCUCGGAACUGCAUUCAAAACUUAUUAACUAGAAUUUGGUAGAGGAUAGUGGAAUUCCUAGUGUAGAGGUGAAAUUCGUAGAUAUUAGGAGGAACACCAGUGGCGAAGGCGACUAUCUGGACCAACAUUGACGCUAAGGCUCGAAAGCGUGGGGAGCAAACAGGAUUAGAAACCCUAGUAGUCC